rnacentral:tRNA from 1 species
GGGUUGGUGGUGUAAUAGUUAUCGCUUCUGCUUUACGAGCAGAAGGUCAUAGAUUCAAUCCCGGCCCG